CACGUGUGCAACCAACCCCGUACCGGGAGAUAACCCGCGGAAACGUGGACUAACACCCCAUAACACCUUUCCCCCGCAUGGGGGGGAGUUUAAAACCCCGGUGGUACGGGACGGGCACGCGCGACAUUAGGUAGUUGGCGGGGUAACGGCCCACCAAGCCGACGAUGUCUAGGGGUUCUGAGAGGAAGGUCCCCCACACUGGAACUGAGACACGGUCCAGACUCCUACGGGAGGCAGCAGUGAGGAAUAUUGGUCAAUGGGCGAGAGCCUGAACCAGCCAAGUCGCGUGAGGGAAGAAUGGUCUAUGGCCUGUAAACCUCUUUUGUCAAGGAAGAAUAAGCGGCACGAGUGCCACCUUGCCAGUACUUGACGAAUAAGCAUCGGCUAACUCCGUGCCAGCAGCCGCGGUAAUACGGGGGAUGCGAGCGUUAUCCGGAUUUAUUGGGUUUAAAGGGCGCGUAGGCGGGACGGCAAGUCGGCGGUAAAAGACUGCAGCUAAACUGUAGCACGCCGUUGAAACUGUCGACCUGGAGACGAGACGAGGGAGGCGGAACAAGUGAAGUAGCGGUGAAAUGCAUAGAUAUCACUUGGAACCCCGAUAGCGAAGGCAGCUUCCCAGGCUCGAUCUGACGCUGAUGCGCGAGAGCGUGGGUAGCGAACAGGAUUAGAUACCCUGGUAGUCCACGCCGUAAACGAUGCUCACUGGAUCUUGGCGAUACACGGCCAGGGUUCAAGCGAAAGUAUUAAGUGAGCCACCUGGAGAGUACGUCGGCAACGAUGAAACUCAAAGGAAUUGACGGGGGCCCGCACAAGCGGAGGAACAUGUGGUUUAAUUCGAUGAUACGCGAGGAACCUUACCCGGGUUUAAAUGCAGGUUGCAUGAGGUGGAAACACCUCUUUCCCUCGGGACUACCUGCAAGGUGCUGCAUGGUUGUCGUCAGCUCGUGCCGUGAGGUGUCGGGUUAAGUCCCAUAACGAGCGCAACCCCUAUCGCCAGUUGCCAUCGGUUCAAGCCGGGCACUCUGUCGAGACUGCCACCGUAAGGUGCGAGGAAGGCGGGGAUGACGUCAAAUCAGCACGGCCCUUACACCCGGGGCGACACACGUGUUACAAUGGCCGGUACAGAGGGCAGCCACGGGGCGACCCGGAGCGAAUCUCUAAAGCCGGUCGUAGUUCGGACUGGAGUCUGCAACCCGACUCCACGAAGUUGGAUUUGCUAGUAAUCGCGCAUCAGC
rnacentral:rRNA from 1 species